rnacentral:rRNA from 1 species
CCUACGGGAGGCAGCAGUGGGGAAUAUUGGUCAAUGGGCGAAAGCCUGAACCAGCCAAGUCGCGUGAAGGAUGAAGGAUCUAUGGUUUGUAAACUUCUUUUAUAUGGGAAUAAAUUGAGGCACGUGUUCCUUUUUGUAUGUACCAUAUGAAUAAACAUCGGCUAACUCCGUGCCAGCAGCUGCGGUAAUACGGAGGAUGCGAGCGUUAUCCGGAUUUAUUGGGUUUAACGGGUGCGUAGGUGGUUAAUUAAGUCAGCGGUAAAAGUUUGUGGCUCAACCAUAAAAUUGCAGUUGAGACUGGUUGACUUGAGUAUAUGUGAGGUAGGCGGAAUGCGUGGGGUAGCGGUGAAAUGCAUAGAUAUCACGAAGAACUCCGAUUGCGAAGGCAGCUUACUAAACUAUAACUGACACUGAAGCACGAAAGCGUGGGGAUCAAACAGGAUUAGAUACCCUAGUAGUC